rnacentral:rRNA from 1 species
UUAAGCGACUAAGCGUACACGGUGGAUGCCCUGGCAGUCAGAGGCGAUGAAGGACGUGCUAAUCUGCGAUAAGCGUCGGUAAGGUGAUAUGAACCGUUAUAACCGGCGAUUUCCGAAUGGGGAAACCCAGUGUGAUUCGUCACACUAUCAUUAACUGAAUCCAUAGGUUAAUGAGGCGAACCGGGGGAACUGAAACAUCUAAGUACCCCGAGGAAAAGAAAUCAACCGAGAUUCCCCCAGUAGCGGCGAGCGAACGGGGAGCAGCCCAGAGCCUGAAUCAGUGUGUGUGUUAGUGGAAGCGUCUGGAAAGGCGUGCGAUACAGGGUGACAGCCCCGUACACAAAAAUGCACAUAUUGUGAGCUCGAUGAGUAGGGCGGGACACGUGGUAUCCUGUCUGAAUAUGGGGGGACCAUCCUCCAAGGCUAAAUACUCCUGACUGACCGAUAGUGAACCAGUACCGUGAGGGAAAGGCGAAAAGAACCCCGGCGAGGGGAGUGAAAAAGAACCUGAAACCGUGUACGUACAAGCAGUGGGAGCACAGAGCAAUCUGUGUGACUGCGUACCUUUUGUAUAAUGGGUCAGCGACUUAUAUUCUGUAGCAAGGUUAACCGAAUAGGGGAGCCGAAGGGAAACCGAGUCUUAACUGGGCGUUAAGUUGCAGGGUAUAGACCCGAAACCCGGUGAUCUAGCCAUGGGCAGGUUGAAGGUUGGGUAACACUAACUGGAGGACCGAACCGACUAAUGUUGAAAAAUUAGCGGAUGACUUGUGGCUGGGGGUGAAAGGCCAAUCAAACCGGGAGAUAGCUGGUUCUCCCCGAAAGCUAUUUAGGUAGCGCCUCGUGAAUUCAUCUCCGGGGGUAGAGCACUGUUUCGGCAAGGGGGUCAUCCCGACUUACCAACCCGAUGCAAACUGCGAAUACCGGAGAAUGUUAUCACGGGAGACACACGGCGGGUGCUAACGUCCGUCGUGAAGAGGGAAACAACCCAGACCGCCAGCUAAGGUCCCAAAGUCAUGGUUAAGUGGGAAACGAUGUGGGAAGGCCCAGACAGCCAGGAUGUUGGCUUAGAAGCAGCCAUCAUUUAAAGAAAGCGUAAUAGCUCACUGGUCGAGUCGGCCUGCGCGGAAGAUGUAACGGGGCUAAACCAUGCACCGAAGCUGCGGCAGCGACGCUGAUGCGUUGUUGGGUAGGGGAGCGUUCUGUAAGCCUGCGAAGGUGUGCUGUGAGGCAUGCUGGAGGUAUCAGAAGUGCGAAUGCUGACAUAAGUAACGAUAAAGCGGGUGAAAAGCCCGCUCGCCGGAAGACCAAGGGUUCCUGUCCAACGUUAAUCGGGGCAGGGUGAGUCGACCCCUAAGGCGAGGCCGAAAGGCGUAGUCGAUGGGAAACAGGUUAAUAUUCCUGUCCUUGGUGUUACUGCGAAGGGGGGACGGAGAAGGCUAUGUUGGCCGGGCGACGGUUGUCCCGGUUUAAGCGUGUAGGCUGGUUUUCCAGGCAAAUCCGGAAAAUCAAGGCUGAGGCGUGAUGACGAGGCACUACGGUGCUGAAGCAACAAAUGCCCUGCUUCCAGGAAAAGCCUCUAAGCAUCAGGUAACAUCAAAUCGUACCCCAAACCGACACAGGUGGUCAGGUAGAGAAUACCAAGGCGCUUGAGAGAACUCGGGUGAAGGAACUAGGCAAAAUGGUGCCGUAACUUCGGGAGAAGGCACGCUGAUAUGUAGGUGAAGCGACUUGCUCGUGGAGCUGAAAUCAGUCGAAGAUACCAGCUGGCUGCAACUGUUUAUUAAAAACACAGCACUGUGCAAACACGAAAGUGGACGUAUACGGUGUGACGCCUGCCCGGUGCCGGAAGGUUAAUUGAUGGGGUCAGCGCAAGCGAAGCUCUUGAUCGAAGCCCCGGUAAACGGCGGCCGUAACUAUAACGGUCCUAAGGUAGCGAAAUUCCUUGUCGGGUAAGUUCCGACCUGCACGAAUGGCGUAAUGAUGGCCAGGCUGUCUCCACCCGAGACUCAGUGAAAUUGAACUCGCUGUGAAGAUGCAGUGUACCCGCGGCAAGACGGAAAGACCCCGUGAACCUUUACUAUAGCUUGACACUGAACAUUGAGCCUUGAUGUGUAGGAUAGGUGGGAGGCUUUGAAGUGUGGACGCCAGUCUGCAUGGAGCCGACCUUGAAAUACCACCCUUUAAUGUUUGAUGUUCUAACGUGGACCCGUGAUCCGGGUUGCGGACAGUGUCUGGUGGGUAGUUUGACUGGGGCGGUCUCCUCCUAAAGAGUAACGGAGGAGCACGAAGGUUGGCUAAUCCUGGUCGGACAUCAGGAGGUUAGUGCAAUGGCAUAAGCCAGCUUGACUGCGAGCGUGACGGCGCGAGCAGGUGCGAAAGCAGGUCAUAGUGAUCCGGUGGUUCUGAAUGGAAGGGCCAUCGCUCAACGGAUAAAAGGUACUCCGGGGAUAACAGGCUGAUACCGCCCAAGAGUUCAUAUCGACGGCGGUGUUUGGCACCUCGAUGUCGGCUCAUCACAUCCUGGGGCUGAAGUAGGUCCCAAGGGUAUGGCUGUUCGCCAUUUAAAGUGGUACGCGAGCUGGGUUUAGAACGUCGUGAGACAGUUCGGUCCCUAUCUGCCGUGGGCGCUGGAGAACUGAGGGGGGCUGCUCCUAGUACGAGAGGACCGGAGUGGACGCAUCACUGGUGUUCGGGUUGUCAUGCCAAUGGCACUGCCCGGUAGCUAAAUGCGGAAGAGAUAAGUGCUGAAAGCAUCUAAGCACGAAACUUGCCCCGAGAUGAGUUCUCCCUGACUCCUUGAGAGUCCUGAAGGAACGUUGAAGACGACGACGUUGAUAGGCCGGGUGUGUAAGCGCAGCGAUGCGUUGAGCUAACCGGUACUAAUGAACCGUGAGGCUUAACCUU